UACUAACAUCUAUUAAGUUUUUCUUUUCAGCCUGACUGAAAUAAAGGCACUCAGAGCACAUGUAAGAUCUCCCUAUGAAAUGAGACAGAUCACAGAAUCAAAAAUAUAAUGCUGGAUAAACCUUGGAAGUUUUUAUCCCAGGUCCCUUUCAUUUUAUAAAUGAAUAAACUAAAAUCUGAUAAGGUUAAAUUACUUAGAAUGGUAAGAUCACAUGUCUAAAGCUAAUAAAUAAACUCAGAAGCCACAUGGUCCAACCCCACCCUGGAAGACAAUCAUAUGCUCAAGGUAGUGUCAAAAUUGGAUUUGAAUCUAGAGGCUCCCUAACCAAUGGAUGUUUCCCUGGUCACAAAGGUAACAGCAGAGAGUAAAAUAUAAACCCUCUUUCUCCAAAUUGAAGUGUCUUUCCAUUUUACUAUGAACUCUCACUUCUGCAGCUUCUGAUCAAAAGAAUCUGAAUAACUCAGCAUCGGGAGGAAGGAAGAUGGAAGCAUUGCUCCAUUUCAGAGAGAUGUGGGGGGGGGGGGUGUAAACAUUCUUUCCCCUCUUCCAUUAUGAAGUGUUUUUCUCGCUGCAGACCAUAGAGAAUGACAACAAACAACAUUCUAGCCAUGUAAUAUGCCCUGUAUUAUAGCUUCAGCCAAAGCUCUUUAACUGAACGAGCAAGUGUUAUUGAUUUCAUAAACAUGGAGGUUGCGCCCUUUACCUCCGGGCCAGAUCCGUUAGUGGAGUCUGGAAGCUCCAGGGAGAUGUUGUGAUAUGUAAACAUCAGUUUGUGGUUGGCUGUACCAGGGUACUCUAGAAUGUUUCCAAGAUGCUGAGGGCUGGAAAGAGAGGGCAGAAACAUCCAAAGCUUGUGCUUCUCAAAAGCAGAAAAAGAGAAGUAAUAAAUGCACUCUGUGAAUGAGUUACCAUGGAGAAGCUAUUCCAGCCAAAGAAGAAUCCACUAGAGAAAAAGCAACAUACAACUUGUCAGCAAAAAUGGCAAGAUAUCAUAAACGAAGCAACAUGGGAUUUAUUUUGUGAUCUCUUUGGGUAAUUCUAUGCUACAGCUACAAAAGACCUCAGAAGUCUUGAUUUCCAAUCCCCGACUUCUACAAAUGAAGAAAUGAAAUCCAAGAAAUGUUAAGUGAUUUGCUCAGUUUCCUCAGACUGAAAUCCUGGCAAUUAUGAAAGACAGGUUUUGAACCCUCAUCUUUGAACUUCAGAAUGGGUGCUCUUUGACUUAUACCACCCUGUGCAGCAGCCACGACUGCCUAUAAGGGCACUAACAGGGACCUAGCUUAAUGAUUUUCCUUCUUGGGGCUAAUACCAACCUCUCACAUAGACAAUGAAGUUGCCAUUGGACCACCUUGCACUAAUAAAAUUCAUCAGAAACAAAUCUCUGCCUCUUAUCAGGAUAUAAUUAGUGGACAGAAGAAAUGGUAGCCCAUUCUUUGACUUUACAACAGAGCGGGCUUCAAGGGGAAAAAAAGAGGAAUUUUGGAAACAAUAGGAAAAUUCUAGCCACAAAUGCAUAAGUUUAUUAUUUUUAAAAUUUGGGAUUUGUGAUUUAUUUCAUGAUUGUGAGGAGCCCAAUACACCCUGUUGUCAUCUGUAAUCUUAGAGAAUUAUACUUGGGCAGUAGAACAUAACAUCAUAUGUCAAAGGUAUUAUGGAAACCCAGGCCUUCUUGAGUACAAGCCUGGCUCUCUUGUCCUUCUCCCAUGCUGCUUGUCUACCAAGAGCCUGUUGUUUCUGAACACUGGAAAU